rnacentral:rRNA from 1 species
AUUCCGGUUGAUCCUGCCGGAGGACAUUGCUAUUGGGAUUCGAUUUAGCCAUGCUAGUCGAGCGAGUUCAGACUCGCGGCGAAUAGCUCAGUAACACGUGGCCAAGCUCCCCUUCAGUCAGCGAUACCCUCGGGAAACUGAGGUUAACAGCUGAUACAAAACGCCAGCUGGAAUGCGGCGUUUCAGAAAGACAUCGCUGAAGGAUGCGGCUGCGGCCGAUUAGGUUGACGGUGGGGUAACGGCCCACCGUGCCAGUAAUCGGUACGGGUGAUGAGAGUCAGAGCCCGGAGACGGAAUCUGAGACAAGAUUCCGGGCCCUACGGGGCGCAGCAGGCGCGAAACCUUUACACUGCACGGAAGUGCGAUAGGGGAAUCCCAAGUGCGAGGGCAUAUUAGCCCUCGCUUUUCUCGACUGUAAGGUGGUCGACGAAUAAGAGCUGGGCAAGACCGGUGCCAGCCGCCGCGGUAAUACCGGCAGCUCAAGUGAUGUCCCAUAUUAUUGGGCCUAAAGCGUCCGUAGCUA